UUUUGGUAGAUAAAAAGAGGGGGUUUAAUUGUUAGAGUCGAAGCAAGAGGAGGAGACGAGAUCAUGAAUACUGGGUUUUUGGAGGGAUUCUAUCUAGGGUUUCGAGUGCGAUGGCAUUGGAUGCGCCCUACCUGUUGAAGCUCCUCCUAAGGUAAUGAGUCCCUCAAUGGCACUGAAGGGACAAAUUCAGUUAAAGUUGUGAAUGGAGUGGCAGUUGUACAAGGAAGGACACGCACUCUGGUUGAGAGGUUUGAAAGGAGAGAGAGGGAGAUUAAAUAGUGAUGAAGUUCAGGCACCCGAUACAACCCCUCAAAUAAUACCUGAGAUGGCUAAAAUAUCCCCUAUGUUGGUAUGGUUUUCCCUCCUAAAAUAGUUAUCUUCUAUGGCUAUUAUGCAUAGAUAAAUUGAUAUGUAAUUUGGUUUCAAUUUAUAUGACCUCUCACUCACACAGGAUAUUUUGAAUUAGUAGACUACAUUAUUUUGUUAUAUGCAGAUCCUAAUAGUCCAAAUCCAGUUACCUUCACCUCUACCGUGUCUAGUUGCCGUCAAUUAUCACCAUAAAGAACUGGUCACUAAACCAUAAUUAUUACAAGAUAUCAACAAA